rnacentral:rRNA from 1 species
GACAAACGCUGGCGGCGUGCAUAACACAUGCAAGUCGAACGAAGCACAUAAAACGGAGACUUCGGGUCAAAGGUUUUAUGUGACUUAGUGGCGGACGGGUGAGUAACACGUGAGUAACCUACCUCUCAGAGGGGAAUAACACAUCGAAAGGUGUGCUAAUACCGCAUAACAUAUGUUUAUCGCAUGGUAGACAUAUCAAAGAUUUAUCGCUGAGAGAUGGGCUCGCGUCCAAUUAGCUAGAUGGUGAGGUAACGGCUCACCAUGGCGACGAUUGGUAGCCGGACUGAGAGGUUGAACGGCCACAUUGGGACUGAGAUACGGCCCAGACUCCUACGGGAGGCAGCAGUGGGGAAUAUUGGGCAAUGGGGGAAACCCUGACCCAGCAACGCCGCGUGAAGGAAGAAGGCCUUCGGGUUGUAAACUUCUUUUAGCAGGGACGAAGAACGUGACGGUACCUGCAGAAAAAGCAACGGCUAACUACGUG